rnacentral:lncRNA from 1 species
CUAUUGUUGGACUUCUGGUUGGUUUCUGAUAGCAGCGGUGCAAUCUGGGUCUGGGAACCAGGCAGGAGGGUGGACUAGCAGGAAAGCAAGUCUCGAGGUGCAUGUGCAUGGCGUGGAAAAUAGCAAGAAGGCAGGAGGCUCAGGUGGGUUUGGGAACAGGAUAACUGGAGGCCAAGGUGAUGCCGAGAGGUCUGGGUGAAAGGAGCGGUUCAGGGACAUACACAUCAAUCUGCCUUGAGUCUGGAGUUUCCACCACCCAGGGACAGUUUUUUGCUAGGACUAGUUAGGCUGGGGCAAUAAGGGGUUGCACUGAGGGGAUGGCAAUGAAGAGGGAGGUCUGGAGGCUGGGCUGCACAGGAAUGGUCAAUUGGCUUAGGGACGAUGGUGACUUCAGUUUAGAUUUGCUGGACAUCGCAGACAUUGCAGAAUAAGAUUUUCAAAGCCUUGAAACAGAGAAAGUCCAGUCUUUUACCAUAAGGGUGAAGUGGGCCAACAGCAGAAUGGGCAGUCAUGGUACAGACCCACCCCGUGGACUGGGUGGACAAAGGCUCUUCCAGGCCUGCUGACAGCAAAGGGGGAACUUGACACUGCACUGGGGCCUGUGGGGCUUCUGCCCUCCCCGACCUUCUGGAGGCAUAGCCCAGGAGAACCUUCCAGAACACUCUGGAGCCCAACACUGUGGAGCUGUUCAGUGAGGCUCUGGCUUGUUUAGAAUUUCAUCUGAUUUGGGGUGGCCCAGGGGCUCUGAGGAAUUCUGGUCUCAGCACGAUCCUGGCUGGGAUUUACGCUCUGGCAUCCGUCACAAGCUCAAUUCUGGACUUGCUUCCCCUUACAUGUUAGUUUCAUUAUAUGUGAUUUUUUAUAUGUAUUAGACACUCAGGGAUUUUUAUCAGGAGGGGCUUUGCAGUAGAAUAUCUUCUGCUCUUGAGAGAUUCCAGGGCAUGCUCAGUACACAAGUGUAGCCUGCAUCCAUUCAAUAAAUGUUUACCAGGCACUCAGGUAGACAUCAGAGAUGGUACCCUCAGGGAGUGUUAGUGGCUUAGUUGUGUCCAACUCUU